rnacentral:sRNA from 1 species
CGAAUGGUAUCUAUGACCAAAUCUAGGGC